rnacentral:rRNA from 1 species
UGCCAGCAGCCGCGGUAAUACGGAGGGUCCAAGCGUUAUUCGGAAUCACUGGGCGUAAAGCGCACGUAGGUGGUUUAAUAAGUCUGAUGUGAAAGCCCACGACUCAAUCGUGGAAGUGCAUUGGAUACUGUUAGACUUGAGUACAGGAGGGGUAAGCGGAAUUCCAGGUGUAGAGGUGAAAUUCGUAGAUAUCUGGAGGAACAACAGAGGCGAAGGCGGCUUACUGGACUGUGACUGACACUAAGGUGCGAAAGCGUGGGUAGCAAACGGGAUUAGAUA